rnacentral:rRNA from 1 species
GAUGAACGCUGGCGGCGUGCCUAAUACAUGCAAGUCGAGCGAACAGACGAGGAGCUUGCUCCUUUGACGUUAGCGGCGGACGGGUGAGUAACACGUAGGUAACCUACCUAUAAGACUGGGAUAACUUCGGGAAACCGGAGCUAAUACCGGAUAAUAUUUCGAACCGCAUGGUUCGAUAGUGAAAGAUGGCUUUGCUAUCACUUAUAGAUGGACCUGCGCCGUAUUAGCUAGUUGGUAAGGUAACGGCUUACCAAGGCAACGAUACGUAGCCGACCUGAGAGCGUGAUCGGCCAGCCUGGAACUGAGACACGGUCCAGACUCCUACGGGAGGCAGCAGUAGGGAAUGUUCCGCAAUGGGCGAAAGCCUGACGGAGCAACGCAGCGUGAGUGAUGAAGGUCUUCGGAUCGUAAAAAUCUGUUAUUAGGGAAGAACAUAUGUGUAAGUAACUGUGCACAUCUUGACGGUACCUAAUCAGAAAGCCACGGCUAACUACGUG